GUUAAUAGAAACGCGACGUUUGAAUUGAAAACGCGUCGAAGAAUUAUUUAGAGAGAGAGAGAGAGAGAGAGAGAGAGAGGGCUUCACGAGGUAGCUCGUAGAUCGCGUCGGCUCGUAGAUCGAUCGUCCUCCGUUCUCUUACCUUCCGUCCGGUAAGACCUUCCGGAACUUGUGUGUAUCGGAGGAGAUCAAAGGGAAACAAAUAAUCGCGUUUCCCCUGGGAAAUUGAAUUUCUAGGGUUUCGUUUUUUUCUUUGAUUCUUUGAUUUUUGAGUCUUUUCUUGAAUUGGUUGAUUGAUUGAUCGAUCGAAUCUGCUUAUCGUGAUUUGAUUGAUUCUCCCUAGGGUUUCGUUGAUUUCUCUCUCUGUUAUCUCUUUGAUUUUUCUUGUAUACGAUUCUUAUUGAGAAGAAUACGAUGGCGGCAGGGGGAGGAGUUGAUGUCUCUAGAAGUUCUCUUUCCGUCAAAAAAGACUACGACUUUUACAGGAACGGUGAUGGUGAGAGGCGUCAUCACGCCAAACGUCCUAACGAGCAAGAUCUCAGGAGGACUGAUGUUCGUAGUAGCCGAUCACGGUUCGCUUCUGAGAAAGGGGAGGAGGUGCAGAGACCCCCUGAGAAAAGGAGGAAGUUUUCACCGAUCUUGUGGGGGGUAGAGGAUGAAGUGGCUAAAGCUCCGUCUAGGGAGAAGACAAGGACUACAAAUAAGCAGGGUGUUGAUGUAACUCUUACUAGGAAGACUUCUCCGAAGGAGCAGGUCAACGUUGUGAUGUCACCAGAAGCUGUUGAAGCUCAGGGGCCUGGGGUACUUAAUCAGGAUGUUGAUGUAACUUUUGCUAGGAAGACUUCUCCGGAGGGUCAGGUCAAUGUUGUGAUGUCACAAGAACCGGUUGAUGAAUUGGAGGAGGGUCAGUUGGAGGAAGAACAGGAGGUGAAGCAGGAGGCAUCACCUGUUAAGAAAUCUAGAUGGGAGACGGGUUUAACUUCCCACAAAGAGGAGUUACCGUCUCAUGCGGAUGAUGUAGUUCCCAAGACUAGUAGAUGGAACAGGAGCAGUUUGAGUCCGGAGUGCGGUGAGUUAGUUGUGUCUGAAGAACGGCAAUGCAAUUCAUCUGGAUCUGGCAGUGGACGUCAGAGCGUAGAGAAGCUUAGCGGUAAUGAAUAUUCUGAUAAUGAGUAUUUUAGUUCUGAUCAUGAUGAGUUGGAAGCUGAAGAACCAGCUUCUCCAGCUCAGGGAGGGAUGAACAUGCUACUCGGUAGCAGGUCUGUGAAUGGGUUUCAGAAGCUAAACAAGAUUAACGAAGGUACAUACGGUAUUGUUUAUAGAGCGAGGGAUGAGAAAACAAAAGAGAUCGUGGCACUCAAAAAGAUCAAGAUGAAGGAAGACAAGUACGAAGAAGAGUACGGAUUCCCUUUGACGUCUCUGAGGGAAAUCAACAUACUUUUGUCAUGCAAUCACCCUUCAAUAGUGAACGUGAAGGAAGUCGUGGUUGGAGGGAAAAACGACAGCGAUGUUUACAUGGUCAUGGAACACUUGGAGCACGACUUGAAGGGCUUGAUGGAAAGGAAGAAACAGCCUUUCAGCACCAGCGAGGUCAAGUGCUUAAUGCUGCAGCUGCUGGAGGGUGUGCACUACCUUCACACGAACUGGAUUAUCCACAGGGAUCUGAAGCCAUCUAAUCUCCUGAUGAACAACAGUGGGGAGUUGAAGAUUUGUGAUUUUGGUAUGGCGCGACAGUACGGUAGCCCUAUCAAGCCUUACACCCAGAUGGUUAUCACUCAGUGGUACAGACCACCAGAACUUCUUCUAGGAGCGAAGCAGUACUCUACGGCUGUUGAUAUGUGGUCAAUAGGUUGCAUCAUGGCGGAACUCUUGUCUCAAAAGCCUUUGUUCCCGGGCAAGACUGAACUUGACCAGCUUCAAAAGAUCUUUGCGGUCCUUGGAACCCCAAACGAGUCAAUCUGGCCUGGAUUCUCAUCGUUACCCAAUGCAAAAGCCAAGUUUCCCACACAAUCGUACAAUUUGUUGCGGAAGAAGUUUCCAGCUAUAUCAUUUGUGGGCGGUCAAAUACUUUCAGAACGUGGAUUUGAUUUACUGAAUGGUUUACUGACGUUGGAUCCUGAGAAGCGUCUAACAGUGGAGGAAGCUCUCAACCAUAGUUGGUUUCAUGAAGUCCCUCUCCCAAAAGCCCAAGAUUUCAUGCCCACAUUUCCUCCAAGGCGCUAGAUUUAGAUUGUUUUCUUUUAAUCAAAAGUUUGACGGAACGUUUAUUAGAAAGUGGAAAAAAAUGUAUAAUUUGUUGAGUAUCACUUUUGGUGUCUCAAAUCAAACGUGUAUCGAUGACAUUGACGAGAAAUGUGAAACGGGUCCAGGUUUCAAAAGACCAAGCCCAUUAUUUA